CCGCCCUUAGCUCAGUUGGUCAGAGCACCGAGCUUAUAUCUCGGCGGUCCCAGGUUCGAAUCCUGGAGGGCGGA
rnacentral:tRNA from 1 species